rnacentral:rRNA from 1 species
GGGCAUGGCGGGGCGCGGCGGACUGCUCAGUAACACGUGGCUAACCUACCCUCGGGACGGGGAUAACCCCUGGGAAACUGGGGCUAAUCCCCGAUAGGGGAGGUGGCCUGGAAUGGUACCUCCCCAAAAGGGAUACGGUGCCAUCCUCGCCGUAUCCGCCCGAGGAUGGGGCUGCGGCCCAUCAGGUUGUUGGCGGGGUAACGGCCCGCCAAGCCGAUAACGGGUAGGGGCCGUGAGAGCGGGAGCCCCGAGAUGGGCACUGAGACAAGGGCCCAGGCCCUAUGGGGUGCACCAGGCGCGAAACCUCCGCAAUGCGGGAAACCGUGACGGGGUCACCCCGAGUGCCUCCUGAUAAGGGAGGCUUUUCCCCGCUGUAAACAGGCGGGAGAAUAAGCGGGGGGCAAGUCUGGUGUCAGCCGCCGCGGUAAUACCAGCCCCGCGAGUGGUCGGGACGGUUAUUGGGCCUAAAGCGCCCGUAGCCGGCCCGGCAAGUCCCCGCGUAAAGCCCCGGGCUUAACCCGGGGAAUUGCGGGGAUACUACCGGGCUAGGGGGCGGGAGAGGCCGAGGGUACUCCCGGGGUAGGGGCGAAAUCCUGUAAUCCCGGGAGGACCACCAGUNGGCGAAGGCGCUCGGCUGGAACGCGCCCGACGGUGAGGGGCGAAAGCCGGGGGAGCAAACCGGAUUAGAUACCCGGGUAGUCCCGGCUGUAAACGAUGCGGGCUAGGUGUUGGACGGGCCUUGAGCCCGUCCAGUGGCGCAGGGAAGCCGUUAAGCCCGCCGCCUGGGGAGUACGGCCGCAAGGCCGAAACUUAAAGGAAUUGACGGGGGAGCACCACAAGGGGUGGAGCCUGCGGUUUAAUUGGAGUCAACGCCGGGAACCUUACCGGGGGCGACAGCAGGAUGACGGCCAGGCUAAUGACCUUGCCUGACGCGCUGAGAGGAGGUGCAUGGCCGUCGCCAGCUCGUGCCGUGAAGUGUCCGGUUAAGUCCGGCAACGAGCGAGACCCCCGCCCCCAGUUGCUACCCAAUCCUUCGGGAUUGGGGCACACUGGGGGGACUGCCGCCGUGUAAGGCGGAGGAAGGAGGGGGCCACGGCAGGUCAGCAUGCCCCGAAACCCCCGGGCUACACGCGGGCUACAAUGGCGGGGACAGCGGGUGCCGACCCCGAAAGGGGAAGGCAAUCCCUUAAACCCCGCCUCAGUUGGGAUCGAGGGCUGCAACUUGCCCUCGUGAACGUGGAAUCCCUAG